GACGAACGCUGGCGGCGUGCUUAACCCAUGCAAGUCGAACGGAAAGGCCCUGCUUUUGUGGGGUGCUCGAGUGGCGAACGGGUGAGUAACACGUGAGUAACCUGCCCUUGACUUUGUGAUAACUUCAGGAAACUGGGGCUAAUACCGGAUAGGAGCUCCUGCUGCAUGGUGGGGGUUGGAAAGUUUCGGCGGUUGGGGAUGGACUCGCGGCUUAUCAGCUUGUUGGUGGGGUAGUGGCUUACCAAGGCUUUGACGGGUAGCCGGCCUGAGAGGGUGACCGGCCACAUUGGGACUGAGAUACGGCCCAGACUCCUACGGGAGGCAGCAGUGGGGAAUAUUGCACAAUGGGCGGAAGCCUGAUGCAGCAACGCCGCGUGCGGGAUGACGGCCUUCGGGUUGUAAACCGCUUUCGCCUGUGACGAAGCGUGAGUGACGGUAAUGGGUAAAGAAGCACCGGCUAACUACGUG
rnacentral:rRNA from 1 species